rnacentral:rRNA from 1 species
GACGAACGCUGGCGGCGUGCUUAACACAUGCAAGUCGAACGGAAAGGCCCUGCUUUUGUGGGGUGCUCGAGUGGCGAACGGGUGAGUAACACGUGAGUAACCUGCCCCUGACUUUGGGAUAACUUCAGGAAACUGGGGCUAAUACCGGAUAGGAGCUCCUGCUGCAUGGUGGGGGUUGGAAAGUUUCGGCGGUUGGGGAUGGACUCGCGGCUUAUCAGCUUGUUGGUGGGGUAGUGGCUUACCAAGGCUUUGACGGGUAGCCGGCCUGAGAGGGUGACCGGCCACAUUGGGACUGAGAUACGGCCCAGACUCCUACGGGAGGCAGCAGUGGGGAAUAUUGCACAAUGGGCGGAAGCCUGAUGCAGCAACGCCGCGUGCGGGAUGACGGCCUUCGGGUUGUAAACCGCUUUCGCCUGUGACGAAGCGUGAGUGACGGUAAUGGGUAAAGAAGCACCGGCUAACUACGUGC